AGAGAAGCGGCGAAGAGGGCAGAGAGCAGAGAAGACGUCCUGGAGGAGGCGACGCACAGCCGCGUAGCGGUGGCUCGAUAUGGUCCAUCCACUUGGCGGAGGCAGACCUGGGUCUGGCGGCCGGCUGGGAUUGUCCGUCCUGGGGGCGCACGGGGCGGAAGGAGAGGACUUGGGUGAGGAGCUGCUGCCACCCGGGCUGGGCCAGGACCUGAGAUCUCAUUGCUACUGCUGCCGCUGCUGCCUGGGGAACCUUUCUGAGACCCAGGUUGGGGACAGUGCCGGAGGGGCCUCCUCUGCUGCAGACAUCUGGAACCAGGUGCAGAUGGGUCUCUUCCUUCCUGCCCCCAUCUCUCUCACUCCCGGCUCAGUGCGGCACUCUCCAGCCUCCUGUGGGAAUCAUCUGAAGUUCUGAGCCCGGAAGCCAAGGAGGAAGACGAGGAGGAGGAGGAGGAGGAGGAGGGAGAGGAAGUCAAGCCCUGAGAACCCUUGCACCUUCCUAGCAGGAGACAAGGAGCAACGCUGCAGUGGGGAGCAGGCUGUGGGGCCCCCACCCCCAGCCCCAGCCA
rnacentral:sRNA from 1 species